rnacentral:rRNA from 1 species
AUUGAACGCUGGCGGCAUGCCUAACACAUGCAAGUCGAACGGUAACACGUUUUCAGCUGCCGCCGACUGGUGGCCGGGUGCGUACUACAUCGGAACAUGUCCAGAUCUGGGGGUUCGCGGGGCGUAAGGUUUGCUAACUUCCCCUACUACCUCAGACUGCCAGCAGGGGAAAGCAAGGCCUUUUGCGUUCUUGCCCGCCGGAAUGAGCCGAUGUCGGAUUAGGUAGUUGGGGGGGUAAAGGCCCACCAAGGCGACGAUCCGUAGCUGGUCUGAGAGGAUGACCAGCCACACUGGGACUGAGACACGGCCCAGACUCCUACGGGAGGCAGCAGUGGGGAAUAUUGGACAAUGGGCGAAAGCCUGAUCCAGCAAUGCCGCGUGCGGGAUGAAGGCCUUCGGGUUGUAAACUGCUUUUGUACGGAAAGAAAAGGCUCUGGCUAAUACCUGGGGGACAUGACGGUACCGUAAGAAUAAGCACCGGCUAACUACGUG